GAAGGAAGGAAAUAUGUACUUUUAAUGUCAGUUGAAUUUUGUUAUUGUAUUCUCAUCAAUCUGACACUACAUUUGGAAAUUUAGUUUGUCUGCCUAUCCAUACAAUGAUUUCAUCUUAAAAGCAGCAUUUUCUGUGUAGGAGUUGGAAAGAUCCUGUAGUUUAUAUACUUGGAACAAAUGAGUAAAUGGCUGAAGUUAGAUUAGAAGCAACAAGAAAUAUUUCCAAGUUCAUACUUCUGUGAGAGGAAAUUACAUCACUACACUUGUACUUAAUAAAGUUUGGAAAAUCCUUGAAAAUAAAAAGACAAUCAUCGCUCACCAUUACAAGGAUAAAAGACAAUCUAGACAACAAUACAGUACCAUCCAGAAACCUUUGCAAGGACAGAGAUAAUAUCUAGACAAUAAUACAGUACCAUCUAGAAACCAUUACAAGGAUAAAAGACUCAAGACAAUCAUACAGUACCAUCCAGAAACCAUUACAAGGAUAAAAGACAAUCUAGACAACAAUACAGUACCAUCCAGAAACUAUUACAAAGAUAAAAGACAAUCUAGACAACAAUACAGUACCAUCUAGAAACCAUUACAAGGAUAAAAGACUCAAGACAUUCAUACAGUACCAUCCAGAAAC